AAUGAGCUUCUUCCUUUUUUAUUCCUCUUUGAUUUGCUCAUCAAUUUUCAAUAUUUUGUGCAAUCAUUUUCAAGCAAACGAGUUUAGUUUGGCAUUAUUUUUUAUUAGGCUUACAUGAAGCAAAACCUUCAUAUAACAAUCACACCUCUUUCAGUAUUAUAAUUUUAGAAUGCAAUUUAGACAUAUUUGUGAUUCAUAAUGAUGAAUCAGUAUUCUAUCAAAGCAGGCAUGCUCUUUAAUUGCUAAUGCAAUGAGUCAAACAUGCAGGAAUGCUCAGAAACUAAGUCGGCAUACAUCCCUUCAGAUCUGUGGUGAAGUGUUGCAGGCAAGAUGGCAUGACUUGGUCACUGAUGCGGCUGUUGCAAUGAUACACCAACCCUUGCAAGAUGUUAUUUAGGUACCUCUACAGAAGAGAAGAGUUAAAAGUCGUGCUCUUUGCAAGGAAAAGUAAUUUGUGACGCUGAUGAAAGGCAAACGAAAAGAGACACUUUUGAAGCUGUUCAGGCCAGGUCAGGUUUCUGAAGCUGUUCAGGCCACGCUAGACUCUGCACCGCUGAUGAUGAUGAAGAACUGCAACUCUGGUAGAGUUCUGAUAGAUUUGUGUGCAGAUGGAUGGAAAACUGUACAACUUUGUCAAUUUGUUUGAUUACGACUAUAUUUUGCACAUAGAGAUAGCGUUGCUUACGGCUCUGUUUACAAUAGAGAUAUAGGCUAAUUAGAACUCUGUGCAACAUGUAUUUUCCUGCUCUGUUACGAAGCACUACUCUGAUUGUCUUAGAUUAGUGUGAGUUCAUAAUAUGCUGCCCUCAA